GUGGACCGGACAGCAGCGGGAACAGUGCCGAAAGGCCGUUCAUGAGGAAAGUCCGAGCUUCGCAGGGCAGGAUAGCUGUUAACGGCAGCCGGAGGCGACUCCAGGGACAGUGCAACAGAGAGAUACCGCCGGACUUCGGUUCGGCAAGGGUGGAAAGGCGGGGUAAGAGCCCACCAGCCUGUGGGAGACCACAGGGCUAUGUAAACCCUAUCCGAAGCAACACCGCACAGGGAUCAGCACGGUGGCCCGCCGGAUCCCGACCAGGUGGCUUGAGCCAUGGGGCGACCCAUGGCCUAGAUAGAUUGUUGUCUAAAACAAAACUCGGCUUACAGGUCCACUCAU
rnacentral:RNase_P_RNA from 1 species